CACUGAGGAAGAGCAAGGCGGGGAGCUGGCGCUGUGCUCAAUCAGGGCGAGCCCGUGGGGCUCUGCAGCAGCGCCUGCUCUCAGACAUACAUCAAGGUUCGGUGAGCCCAAGGACAAGGUGCUGCUCCCAACAACCGCCCAGACUAGGUCACAUUUAUGUCCAGGGCCCGGUGAAGCAUCCCCACCUCCUGAGGCCCGAGAACCGUGGGGACUGGGGCUGGAGCAGAUGCACAGGUAACAACCAAGUAUGGAGAGAGGGACCCCGGCUGGGCACCGAACCAGCGGAUCCACAAACAAGCACUUCAUUGCAUUUCUAGCAGAAGCCACCCCAGGUGGGCGCGAGGCUAGGAGGGCUAUGCUGGUGCGACUGCACCCGGGACGGGACGGCGGGGCUCCUCACUAGUCCCCACAGUUCUGCCUGAGACGGCUGACGACAACAGGAACAGCAGCCCCAGCACCCCCGGAGGGACGCGGCACGAGACUGGAGACAACAGGACCAACAGCCACAGCACCGGCCACCUCUGGAGGGAUGCAGCAUGAGGGGAAUGGAGCUGACCUCACCACAUCCUAGUGUCGCCCAGAGAGCUCGAGGUGAAGCACGUGAGGCCGCAGCAUACAGCAGAGGUGCCACAAGAUGCCACACUCUGACUC